CCCUUGUACACACCGCCCGUCACGCCAUGGAAGCUGGGGGGACCUGAAGCCGGUGGGCUAACCGCAAGGGGGCAGCCGUCAAAGGUCAAUUCAGUGACUGGGGCG
rnacentral:rRNA from 1 species